CGUUGUAACAAAUUAUAGAAAGGAUCCUUAAAAGAACAGUGCUUGCCAGGUGUGACUUUGGAAUCGGCCUCCUCUGAUUUGGUCCCCAUUAUGGAUCUGGAGUUAAAUGUGAGGGUGGAGGAGGUUGUAAGGAGAACCCUUACAGUGUGGCUGUCUCACAUAAGGUCAUUUCAGGAACUUUGCAUAAGGUGCGACCUAUUUCAUGACUCAGAGGAGGAGAAGGUCAGUGGGUCUUAGGGAUUAGGAUGCUCGGAUGCUGCAGAACAGCACUACCCCAGUCCUGGGGGCCUUACUGUAUUGUAACAACUGCCCUUCCAAAAGACAUGCUAAGGUCUUGAGUCUGAGCUCCAGUGCAGCUCGGCAAACCAUAGCCCCAGGCUUAGACUCAGUCUGGCUUUUAGUAACACAAGCCUUGCUAGAGAUAAGCAACUCAAAAGAAUUUCUUUUUUUCCCCGAGUAGCCAUAGAAACUCAGUGCUCUGACUACUUUGGGCUGAAAACGUAAAAGCCCUGCCUUUCGUUUCUACUCUCGAAGCUCACCGGUGCAGUUAUGAAUCACCAGUCUACUCUACAGUCUUUGCACUUCUCAAGCCCUGAUGAGAUUCUGUCAAUGCUGCUGUUGUCGCCCCCAAAGCCUUCAUUCUGCACUCUGCAUUCCAGGAAAAACCCAUCUGGAAGGGACAGAAGACAUCUUACACAACAGAGCACAAAAACCAUAUGAUUUGAUGUUUACUGAGUAAAUAAGAGGGCUGUUAACACCUUUACCAGCAAAUGCAGAACUUGAGAACUCAGAAGACAAUUGGCUGAUACACUAACUCCAUAAAGCUCAGAAAGAUGUCUGGAAAUGCCCCAGAUCAGCCUUCUGGCUUUCCCAACAUCCUCACUCCCUGGUUAUCCUGAAACUUGUUCUGUAGU